rnacentral:rRNA from 1 species
GUGGGGAAUAUUGGACAAUGGGCGAAAGCCUGAUCCAGCCAUGCCGCGUGUGUGAAGAAGGUCUUCGGAUUGUAAAGCACUUUAAGUUGGGAGGAAGGGCAGUAAGUUAAUACCUUGCUGUUUUGACGUUACCAACAGAAUAAGCACCGGCUAACUUCGUGCCAGCAGCCGCGGUAAUACGAAGGGUGCAAGCGUUAAUCGGAAUUACUGGGCGUAAAGCGCGCGUAGGUGAUUCAGCAAGUUGAAGGUGAAAUCCCCGGCCUCAACCUGGGAACGGCCUCCAAAACUACUGAGCUAGAGUACGGUAGAGGGUAGUGGAAAUUCCUGUGUAGCGGUGAAAUGCGUAGGUAUAGGAAGGAACACCAGUGGCGAAGGCGACUACCUGGACUGAUACUGACACUGGGGUGCGAAAGCGUGGGGAGCAAACAGGAUUAGAAACCCGAGUAGUCC